rnacentral:rRNA from 1 species
GAUGAACGCUAGCGACAGGCUUAACACAUGCAAGUCGAGGGGCAGCAUGAUUUGUAGCAAUACAGAUUGAUGGCGACCGGCGCACGGGUGAGUAACGCGUAUGCAACUUACCUAUCAGAGGGGGAUAGCCCGGCGAAAGUCGGAUUAAUACCCCAUAAAACAGGGGUCCCGCAUGGGAAUAUUUGUUAAAGAUUCAUCGCUGAUAGAUAGGCAUGCGUUCCAUUAGGCAGUUGGUGGGGUAACGGCCCACCAAACCGACGAUGGAUAGGGGUUCUGAGAGGAAGGUCCCCCACAUUGGAACUGAGACACGGUCCAAACUCCUACGGGAGGCAGCAGUGAGGAAUAUUGGUCAAUGGACGAGAGUCUGAACCAGCCAAGUAGCGUGAAGGAUGAAGGUCCUACGGAUUGUAAACUUCUUUUA